rnacentral:rRNA from 1 species
CCCCUAGACGUUCUGGGCUGCACGCGCGCUACAAUAAUACGCACAGCGAGUAUCACCGAGCUCGAAAGGGAAAGGUAAACAAUAGAAAAGGUACUGUAAUGGUUAUAGAUCCUUGUAAUUAUUGAUCUUCAACGAGGAAUUCCUAGUAAGUAUGUGUCAUCAUCACGCACUGAUUACGUCCCUGCCCUUUGUACACACCGCCCGUCGCUCCUACCGAUUGGGUGAGCCGAUGAAACUCUCGGAUGUAGGCUAUUCAUAGCCCGCAGAAGAGAUUUGAAUCGUAGCGCUUAGAGGAAGGAGAAGUCGUAACA